rnacentral:rRNA from 1 species
UGGGGGAAUAUUGGACAAUGGGCGCAAGCCUGAUCCAGCCAUGCCGCGUGAGUGAUGAAGGCCCUAGGGUUGUAAAGCUCUUUCACCGGUGAAGAUAAUGACGGUAACCGGAGAAGAAGCCCCGGCUAACUUCGUGCCAGCAGCCGCGGUAAUACGAAGGGGGCUAGCGUUGUUCGGAUUUACUGGGCGUAAAGCGCACGUAGGCGGACUUUUAAGUCAGGGGUGAAAUCCCGGGGCUCAACCCCGGAACUGCCUUGAUACUGGAAGUCUUGAGUAUGGUAGAGGUGAGUGGAAUUCCGAGUGUAGAGGUGAAAUUCGUAGAUAUUCGGAGGAACACCAGUGGCGAAGGCGGCUCACUGGACCAUUACUGACGCUGAGGUGCG